rnacentral:rRNA from 1 species
UACAGAGGUCUCGAGCGUUAGGCGGAAUCACUGGGCUUAAAGCGUGUGUAGGCGGACUGGCAAGUACCUUGUGAAAUCCCACGGCUCAACCGUGGAACUGCUGGGUAUACUGCUUGUCUUGUGCAACCUAGGGGCGAGCGGAACAGAUGGUGGAGCGGUGAAAUGCGUAGAUAUCAUCUGGAACGCCAAUGGUGAAAACAGCUCGCUGGGGGUUUGCAGACGCUGAGACACGAAAGCCAGGGGAGCGAACGGG